GUUCUCCCGCCGGCGGCAGGGGCCCCGAGUUCUCGCCAAUCAUCCCUGCCCCCGGGCAGCUGCCUUUCAGUGCGAGGUGAGGGGUACUCGUUUGGGGCCCCGGGCAGAGACAGAAGUUGUUAUGGGCCCCUCGCCGUGGUAGAGUGCUCAUGAGAUGCAGAGGAUCUCCCUGUUCAGCCAUUGGGCUUCUGCCUGGGUAAGAGUCCUGUGUGUCCGAGCCCUGCAGGAAGUCCCAGUGCAACAAAAAAACCCACAUGAAACAGUAUGUGGAAGCAAGGAAUCUGCUUUGAUCACACCAUUUUUGGCUCCAUAGCCUGGGAACAGAGAUGGUGUAUUUAAAUAUUUGGUCCUAAUGUCAUCCUAGCAGAGCAAGUACCUGGCAGGGCCCUGGCCAUGACAGCGGAAGUACAGUGAAUUGAGCCUGGGACUAUCCUUUUACCUGGGAAAGACAACAGGGUGCUAGUGACGCAAGGACACUGGAAGGAGACAAAGGUGGAAUUGGCAUUUCCAUCAUUUUUACACAGAAGAGAUCUGUGCCAAUGAGGCAACCUCUUGUAUUUGCCAAGCGUAUUGAAUUACUAAGUUCAGUGCAGAAUUUCAGCUUCCAACAGCAUGCUCAAAUGGAAAGUGAGUGUUUCAACAGUUCUUUGACUUGCAUCUUAUGUUGAUUUGCUCCUUGCUGUGCACCAUUUUCAAAUGGCGCAUCAAACCUUGUCCUUGUUACCUGUCACUGACCCAGAAGACUGUUUCUGGAUGAUAGAGAAGAAUUCAGCAUUGUUUGGAGCCAGCCCAACCUUUCUUAUCUGAUUUCUCAGGCUUUUAAGAGAAAAGGAGCUGUAAUAUUUACAUUUUCAAAAGUUCUCAGAAUAAAAUAUUUUGCAUAGGUCACAUGUGGCCAAGAUGGCUUGGAAAGGUCUCAUAGAAACUUUGAAAAUACUCUGCUUCCUCUGACCAGGAACGUGCAUAAUCAUGUGCAGAAUCAUAGAAUCAGAAAACUGCUCAGGUUGGAAAAGACCUUCAAGAUCAUCACAUCCAACCACUAUAUAACCGUGCUGCCCUAGGUCUAACAACUCUACACUGAAUCAUGUCCAUGAGCACCACAUCCAAAGGAUUUUUAAACACAUUCAGGGAUGGUGAUUCAACCACCUUUCCAGCAAGUUUCUG